GGAGAUUCACGUCUUCUCGCGGUGUCAACGUUAGACUCCUCGUCGACGGCUCUACGCCCCAAUUGGGUUUACCUAAGCGGUGGGUUGAGUCGCCGGGAGUUCCGACGAAGAUCUGCGGCAGACCGCACUUCUCCCCUGGUAGGACGUCGUGACCCGUCCGGCCACGGUCUAAGGAUUUGGAUGGGAGCCUGUACGAAAAUUCAUUUUCGAACAACCCUCUAUUUCUCUGACCGUGGAAUGAUCCGGUCGGUAUCAAAAAAUGGUGUUGGACCGCUCUGCGAAGGGAGCAAUCCUUUCUGAGAGCGCGAAAUUGAGCCUUCAGCAAGGCGUCGAGUUCUAAGUCAGUACGGGCCUAUGUCCGUCCGGCUUGUCUCGCGCCUGUUGGUUGGAUGUGCUCUUUCGCCGGUUGAAAACAAUGGCACCAGUCCACGGCGAAUCAGUUUUGGGCUCUUGUCCGACCCGUCUUGAAACACGGACCAAGGAGUUUAGCGUGUACGCGAGUCAUUGGGUGUCAAAACUCAAAGGCGGAAUGAAAGUGAAGGAAAGCUUGCUCUCCGAGGGAGGAUGGGGUCGAGUUCUUUCCAAGAACUUCCUCGCACUCCUGGGGCGUCUCCAUCUCAUCACGAGAGGAGGCGCAC
rnacentral:rRNA from 1 species